rnacentral:rRNA from 1 species
UACGAAGGGUGCAAGCGUUACUCGGAAUUACUGGGCGUAAAGCGUGCGUAGGCGGUUUGUUAAGUCCGCUGUGAAAGCCCUGGGCUCAACCUGGGAAUUGCAGUGGAUACUGGCAAGCUAGAGUGCGGUAGAGGAUGGUGGAAUUCCCGGUGUAGCGGUGAAAUGCGUGGAUAUCGAGAAGAACACUUAGGGCGUAGGCAAGACUCUGGACAAAUGCUGACGCUCAUGCACGAAGGCUAGGGUAGCGAACGGG